rnacentral:lncRNA from 1 species
ACAGUCAUGAGCAAGAUCUGCUCCUUUUGAGAGAAACUGAGUAAGAAAUUCUAAGUUCCUUUUGAUGUGAUAAAUAAUGUAAUGGGAGGUGUCAACCCUUCUGGAAACAAAUUUUUUAAAAGAAGGAGAUUAAUCCAAUUGUCCUUUUUUUUUUUUUUAACACAUGAUUUUCCAUUUUGCUUACAGCUCGAGGGUGUCGAGAGGGACCUUUGCAUGCAAUUUGGUUAAAACUUGGUGUGGUUUUCUGAAGUUUCUCACUGUUUUUGGUAUUAAUCUGUAAGGAAGGAGAGAAAGCAUUUUCUUGUAUCAAAUUUGAACAUACACUGCGCUUUUGGAGUCUAUAAAAUAUUGAGCUCUAUCUGCCAUCUUUGCAGGAAGGCUAGGCAAGGGAGCGUUUGCGUGCAUCUGUUUGUGGCAGUGGGAAGAAGAUUGAGGCCAUACUAUUUUGGUGCAAGUCUUGUCUUAUUUUCUUUGAUUUAACAGUGGUGUUGAUCUGUAAUGUCUUGGGUGUCCUAGACAUCAUAGCUGUGCAUACAUACACAUACACACGUACUCGUGCAUGCCCUCAUACCCAUACACACGUGAAAACAUGUUUUCAUGGUAGGUUGUGAAGAACUGUAAAUUGCUUUUGACAAACUACGAUACAGCAUCAUUUAUAGCAUACAGAUUCUCACUGAAACAAACAAACAAACAAGUCAUAAAAAUGGUUAGAAAGAGGAGUAUUUUACACACUGAUACUUUUCAGUGUCCCUUGGUUUAAUUGUCCUCUAGACGUCUCAUUUGCUCAAAUCAGGAUGUGCUAGUGUGACCUUGCUGUGCAUGGGCUCAGCCCUGAGAGCAUCCAUCUUCAGGACGGAUGCUUUUACUAACCUGGACUUUGCUGUCAAGUGUGUCUGCACAGGGCUCAAUUGAUACAUCUCCAUUUCUUAAUGAGGAGUUUGGUCUUAAAUGUAGUGAACCUUCUCACUGUGAGGCUGUUACCUAAGGCUCAAAAUCUAUCAUAAUUACCAUUUCUCUUAAACACCCAUCAUUAAGGAGUGCACAAAACGCUUGCCUUAAAAGGAUAGUUUCAUGGAGAUUGCUUCUUGGGUAUGUGUCAGCACAAAAUGAAAUCCCCGGGGUUAAGAAAAAAAGGGAGCACUUACACAGUUGAAGAGCGGAGGAAGAUCUCCACAUUUAAAUACAGCCAACUGAAAGGCAGUUAAUGGUUGCUGGUGCUGGUGCAACCACAGCGGCAGCAGGCUCUGCGCCCUGCUGAACUUUGUGGAUGAUUUCUUUCUCUGGUGGUGUGUUGCCACUGAGAGGCAGGAACCCGUUAUGAGAGACGUAGCUCGUUUUGCCCAGAUGUGGAUACACAUCUAACUCUGGGCUAACAAUUUUAAGGAGUUGGCUUGGAGCAAAAAAAAAAAAAAAAAAAAAAAAAGGAAAGCACUCAUACAUUAAAAUAAAAAACCCUGCAUCACGAUUUAUUGACUUUGGCUGUAUCAAUUUGCUAAAUCACAUGGAUAUGAUUUAGGAGGAAUGUUGUUUUAAGCAGCUUUGCUCCCCUUUAAUUUGACAUGACUAAACCUGAAGCCUUCUGGAAACCACAGUCCAAAAUGGUUUUUUUCCCCCUGGAGUUUUCAACCAUUUGCAUUAAGAAAUGUAACACUAGCUCUUUCGUGGAGACUAAGGAUUAAUUCUGGAGUAUCCCUAGGUAAUGCUACCCUCCUUCCAGAAUGGGGUGAGUAUCAUCUGACAGGGAUUAAGAGCGGUCCUUCUGGGUUUCCGCGGUUGGAGGGUGCCUGUUGAUGUACCUGCAUCCCUCUUCUGAUCUAGUCUCACUGCCCCCUCCGUCACUGUCACUUCUCUGUAGGCAGCUGAGGCUGUUGGUCUUUCCUUUUACAUAUUAGAAACCUUGCAUUAUACUUUUGCAGUCCUUUCAUUAAUGAUAAAUAGAGAGGGAAUUUUGGAAGUUUUUAUUUUUUAUCCCCACUCUGGCAUGUCAUUUAUUUCUAACUUGCCUGUAUGCUUCUGAAGAUCCAACUUUAAAUUUGCUUCCCUAGUGUCCAUGGGGAGUAUCCUCCUCCUGCGAUUGGAGGCAUCCCUGUUUCUCCAUUUUUCUUUUUUAAUUUUUUUGGGGGGAGGGGUAUGUACAUGGAGGAUCCUGGUUGUCUUCGAGAUUCUUGCAACUUGUCACCAGACCGUUGCUCCUCUCCAUUGUAAAACUGUAAACCACGAUUUAAAAAUUAGGACACCAGAGAGUUCUGGAGAGAGUUAGAGUUGCUUGAGAGUGCGUGAGGCACUGCUAAAGGGGACCCGACCUUUGCCCUCUGCCUGUAAUCCCUCACCCGUUUCCAUUCAUCUUUGAUUCUUAAGUGAAUGUGUGUACAAUGUGGCAAAGGACUCCCAGAGUUGGCAUUUCUUUAAUAACCUUGCAUGGAAACUCCUAUACCAACUUUUACUUGAAGAUGUAAAAUGGCACCCAAUAAUAAAAUUCUUGGAGUGAGUUAAGAACAAAUGGCUGGAUGCUGUUUGGAUGGAUGGUGUUUGUGAUGUUACCAGGUUUGAGAACAACUGAGUUCAUGGUUUUUGUGCCUUUUCACACUGUGAGUGGGGACAGGGAAGGGUGCGAUGAGUCGGAAGAUCCAGGAUGAAUGUACUGUCUACCCUCUCCACGCUUGGCAUUCUGGGACAUUUAGACCUUCCCUUGACAUCCCAAGCUUCUGGCCUCCUAUCACUGGCUAAAGGAACAUGGCACGCAGGUGUUUAAAUUAUUCAUCGUUAUAAUCGGCCUUUAUGUUCCAGUGCCUGGCCAGACCUCUGUUAUUCUAGUGCAUAAUUGAUGGUGCUCAGAAGUGGAAAAGUUAGAAAAGCAGAAGUAAUGUGGUAGAGCCAUGCAGUGAGGAGGAGGGGCCAGACCCUCAGAGCUGCGGGGUCCCAGACCACAGCUAGUGGCAGAGGACACCUAGCUCCAGGCUCCAGGACUGCAGCCUACUGUCUACCGCCAGGAUAUCUUCCUUCUCCUUUGUCCAUGCAAAAAGGGACAGGGAAGUGCACAGAGCCAGCACAUCAGACCUUCUGCAGGUUCAUGUCUGACCCCAACUCCUGAUAGAACUGUUUCUCUGCAGUUUGUAGUUUCUGGAAAAGCUGUUCACUCCAGAAAAGGACCCUGAAGAAAGCAGUAAAACAAAACAC